UAGGGAGGUGGUGGAGAGAGAGAGCGAAAAGCAGCUCAUCAUCUCAGAGGGACUGCAGAGACACAGAGCCUCAGAACAAUCAAUGCAGAAAUAAAGCAGCACAAAGGCGCAACAUCACCUGAACAUCUCGCGCAGGGUGAUCGGGACCGUGUUUUUUCCGGGAAGAGCUCGAGCAGGUGCGGAUCGUCAGGAUGGGGAACCGCGGGAUGGAGGAUCUGAUUCCUCUGGUGAAUCGCAUGCAGGACGCGUUCUCGGCCAUCGGUCAGAACGCGAAUCUCGACCUGCCGCAGAUCGCCGUGGUGGGCGGACAGAGCGCCGGCAAGAGCUCCGUGCUCGAGAACUUCGUGGGAAAGGAUUUCCUCCCGCGGGGUUCUGGGAUUGUCACCCGUCGUCCUCUUGUUCUGCAGCUCAUCAACUGUCCCACAGAAUAUGCAGAGUUCCUUCAUUGCAAAGGGAAGAAGUUCACAGAUUUCGAUGAGGUGCGACAAGAGAUCGAGGCAGAGACGGAUCGCGCCACGGGCCAGAAUAAAGGCAUCUCGCCCGUGCCCAUAAACCUGCGGGUGUGCUCUCCAAACGUGCUGAAUCUGACGUUGGUGGAUUUGCCAGGAAUGACCAAAGUUCCAGUGGGCGAUCAGCCGGCGGACAUCGAGCAACAGAUCAAAGACAUGCUCAUGCAGUUUGUGACUAGAGACAACUGCCUUCUGCUGGCCGUCACACCCGCCAACUCCGAUCUGGCCAACUCUGACGCCCUGAAGAUUGCCAAAGAAGUCGACCCGCAGGGUUUGCGUACUAUUGGUGUGAUCACCAAGCUUGAUCUGAUGGAUGAAGGCACAGACGCUCGCGACAUUUUGGAAAACAAGCUGCUGCCGCUGCGGAGAGGUUACAUUGGUGUGGUGAACCGCAGUCAGAAAGACAUUGACGGAAAGAAGGACAUCCACGCUGCCAUGGCGGCCGAGCGGAAGUUUUUUCUCUCUCAUCCCGGUUACAGACACCUGGCCGAUCGCAUGGGGACGCCGUACCUGCAGAAAACUCUCAAUCAGCAACUGACCAAUCACAUUCGAGACACGCUGCCCGGCCUGCGCGCUAAACUCCAGAGCCAGCUGCUGUCCAUCGAGAAAGAGGUGGAGGAGUACAAGAACUUCCGUCCAGACGAUCCGUCCCGCAAGACCAAAGCCCUGCUGCAGAUGGUUCAGCAGUUCUCCGUGGACUUUGAUAAGCGUAUCGAGGGCUCUGGAGAUCAGAUAGACACGUAUGAGCUGUCUGGAGGAGCCCGAAUCAAUCGCAUCUUCCAUGAGCGCUUCCCCUUCGAGCUGGUGAAGAUGGAGUUCGAUGAGAAGGAGCUGCGUAAGGAGAUCAGCUACGCCAUCAAGAACAUUCAUGGCAUCAGGACGGGCCUGUUCACCCCUGAUCUGGCCUUUGAGGCCAUAGUGAAAAAGCAGAUGCAAAAGCUAAAUGGACCGUGCCUGAAAUGUAUAGAUAUGGUCGUGAGCGAACUCACCUCCACCAUUCACAAAUGUAGUGAGAAGCUGGCCCAGUAUCCCAUGCUGAGAGAAGAGAUGGAGCGGAUCGUCACACAACACAUCCGGGAUCGUGACAGUCGCACUAAAGAUCAGGUGUUGCUGUUGAUUGAAAUCGAGCUGGCCUACAUGAACACAAACCAUGAAGACUUCAUCGGAUUUGCUAAUGCUCAGCAGAGGAGUAAUCAGACGAAUAAGAAGAAGGCGGCCGGUAAUCAGGAUGAAAUCAUGGUGAUCAGAAAGGGUUGGCUGACCAUUAACAACAUUGGCAUCAUGAAGGGUGGUGCUAAAGAGUACUGGUUUGUACUGACAGCUGAAUCUCUGUCCUGGUACAAAGAUGAUGAGGAGAAAGAGAAGAAGUACAUGCUGCAGGUGGACAAUCUGAAGUUCAGAGAUGUGGAAAAGGGUUUCAUGUCCAGCAAACACAUCUUUGCUCUGUUCAACACCGAGCAGAGGAACGUGUAUAAGGAUUACCGGCAGCUGGAGUUGGCGUGUGAGAGUCAGGAGGAGGUGGACGGAUGGAAGGCUUCGUUCCUGCGUGCCGGCGUCUAUCCCGAGCGCGUGGUGGAGAAGGAGAAGAGUGAUGGCGGUGAGGAGAAUGGUUCAGACAGUUUCAUGCACUCCAUGGACCCGCAGCUGGAGAGGCAGGUGGAGACCAUCCGUAACCUGGUGGACUCCUACAUGGCCAUCGUCAACAAAACCGUACGAGACCUGGUGCCCAAGACCAUCAUGCACCUAAUGAUCAACAACACGAAAGAGUUCAUCAAUGCUGAGCUGUUGGCUCAGCUGUACUCGUGCGGAGAUCAGAACACGCUCAUGGAGGAGUCGGCAGAACAGGCUCAGCGUCGAGAUGAGAUGUUGCGGAUGUACUUCGCUCUCAAAGAAGCGCUGAACAUCAUCGGUGACAUCAGCACCUCCACCAUCUCCACGGCGCAGCCUCCACCCGUGGACGACUCCUGGCUGCAGGUGCAGCGCUCCGGCUCGGGGGGACGCUCACCAGCCACCAGUCCCACCCCUCAGAGACGGGCUCCUCCUCCGGCACGCCCGGGUUCUCGCGGUUCCGCCCCGGGCCCUCCAGCUGCGGGUGGGCCACCGGUUCCAUCUCGCCCAGGGUCGUCUCCGGACCCCUUCGGUGCGGCUCCUCCUCAGGUCCCCUCCCGGCCUAACCGCGCACCGCCGAGCGUGCCCAGUCGGGGAUUGUGAACUCCUCACCAGCGCAGUGGUGUGGAAUUACAAUCAGUGACCAGUGAGGACAUGUGCUUCCGUGCUCCUUGAGGUCACGGGCCAGAAGACCACACUCGACUCCCCUGAAGGUCGGGCGAACAAGGGCAGCACUUCUCGCCCCGAGAGCCCCAUAACCUGCUCAUAGCACCUGCUCGUCCCUUCUCCGCUUUCUUCUUCUUUGUUUUUUCACCCUGCAAACAAACCCAUCAGCACAACAGAACUGACGUGAGAAACCAGGAACAGAGAGAUGGAACUCAACAACCCUUUCAAAGCAUCUUCUCAUGACGACCAGACGGGUGGCGGUGAGACGUCUCUUUUUGGUUGAACCCUCCUCCACCUUCAAGUUCAUCGCUAUGUAACUGCCCUCUUUACGGCUCAUGUUAAAACGAUUGUGCUGACACAAAUCACAGCAUGCCGUGGUUUCUCACGAAAUGUAUAUGUAGUGCUAAAAAUCCUUUUAUUGUCCAAAACAUGAUGUGAUCUGUUCACCUUGAGAAAUCAAACAUCCGUUCGGUAGACCAGAGAGGCUGGAAUGAAUUAUAGAGUGCAAUGUAUUUUCAGAUCAGUCGUGUUUACGUCACAUAUUUCCAAGUUGAAAAGAUAUUCAUGCUGUUUGGGGUGAACAGACGAUCUGAAGUUUUGUGUGUUUACAGAAAUUGUUUGUUUUAUUUCAUAGAAAGCUCAAGACUGUUGAACAUUCGGCAGAUUCACACGCUGCGAUCAGAAUGAGACAUGCUUACUGCACACUAUAUACUGCUUACAGUUAAAGCAUACAAAGAAACAGCUCUCAUUUUACACCAAUAGACGGGUUCAAAGUGACAACAUAAACAAACAUUACUGCGCAUGCGCGCGUUGGGCUGCAGUUAACGUCCGGUACACAUUCAAAAACAAUAAGAGCGCCUGUAGAUUAUUUCUGAUAAUAAUCCAAAGAAACCGAGAAGAACCGUUGUUUGGCUAAACUCGUCUCUCCAACAUUUUGAAUUUAGAUACCUGCGAUACCAAGCUCAACCGCUAGAUGUCAGUGUACCAUACGGCUUGUUCAAACGCGUCAAAACGACAGGACUCAUUCAACGAAUUGUUUAUUUAAUAAAAUGAACAUACAACAAAAUCUAACAACUCGUUUAGUUAAUACAAUACAAUAAUAUUAUAAAUGAAUAUUAACAAAUUAAAUAAAUA